UUCCAUAACUCACUUCAAUAAACUCCCCUUAAUAUUCCAAAUUUAACAACAUUAAAAUCUCCCAACCGGCGGCGGCUCCGCCGGCAGCGGCGGCCGGAGGUCAAUUCCGGCGACCUCCAAAACCUAUGAAAUUUUAACAGCAUCUUCCUCUCAUCAAGCUCUACAACUUUCAUAACUAGCACAAACACCAAUUCCAAGCCUAACUAGGGCAAUCGACUAAAAACAUCAAAAACACCAUAAAACUUCCACCUCAAAUUUCUCCUUACCUAGCUCAAGAGGGAGUGAGUCCUUUUAGGGCAAGGUUGCUGGGUUGGAGGGCUACAAAACCAUACCAAGCUUGCCCGGAUUGGUGGCCGGAGGAGGAAGUUCCGGCAAAAAAACCGAUUCGGCAGUCGAAGCUUUCGGGCGGCACCGCUCACUCACGGCGGCGCUAGGGAGGUUGUCACCGGUCUAGAAAUGUUGCUGGGAGGGAGACCGACCGAACGGAACCGGUCCGGCGGCGAACGGAGGCCGGACGGCGGCGGGAGGGCGGCCGGAAAACCGGGCAGCGGGAGGCUCGGGUGCGGAGAGGAAAUCGGGAGGGAGAGAGAAAGAAAAGAAGAAGAAAAUGGGUUGGGCUCGGCCCAGCCGACCCAACACUCCCUUUUUAACCCAAACUUCCAAAAUAAAAACACCCCGAAAAAUAAUACCCGAAUAAAAAUUACCUUUUACUAGCUAAAAUUUACCAUUUUUACCGUAGUCGUAUUUUCCUCAUACGAAUAAUCCUCCGCACAUAAUCGUCCCCGAAACCCCUCUAGGGACCAUUUAAACUAUUUACUCAAUGAUCGAGACGGUAAAAUUCUUAUUAUAAUCACGCUAGUAAAUAAGGUAAAAAUAUAAGGGUCGGGAUGUGACACAUUUUGUAGCCCUCCUCCCGUGCAACAACCCCUCCAAUCAGCUCACUCCCUCUUGAGCUAGGUAAGGAGAAAUGUGGAAUUGAAAUUUCUAGGGCUUUUAGGAUGUUUUUGUUCGAUUAGCCUAGUUAGGCUUGGAAUUGGGUGAUGUGUUGGUCAGGAAAGUUGUAGAGCAUGAUGAGGAGAUUAUUCUAUCAAAAUUUCAUAGGUUUUGGAGGUCGCCGGAAUUGGCCUCCGGCCGCCGCUGCCGGCGGAGCCGCUGGCGGUUAGGAGAUUUUUAGGGUUUUAAGUGUGGAAUAUUAAGAGGAGUAUAUUGAUGUGAUUUAUGGAAUUUUUGGAUGAGAUUUGGAUAGGUUUGUGAAUUUCCGAAGUUUGGUAUUUUUGGCGAUUAAUUAAUGUAGAAUCUGGCCGUAGGAUUUAAGUCGUAUUUUGGGGAGGUUGUAUUUACGACUGUUGAGUAUGAUAUUUAAGUUCGGAUCGUUCCGAUUUAAGAAUAUCGAAGUUAGGCAAUGAUGAGCGUAUUUAUGGCUCUCGGGUAUUUUUGCCUAUUUUGAUUAAAUAUUGGAUUAUUGGUUGGGAAAUUAAUAUUAUAUUUGGAACAGGACGUGAGGAGGCUCGAGCAGACGAGGCCCCAGAUCGACAUCAGGCUUAGGCCUAAUUUGUGAGUGGACUUUUAUUUUAAAUAAAUGCAUGCUAUAGUUCAUGGUUGAACAAUUAAUGUUGCGGAAUAUUUUAACGUCAUUUUAAUUUGACAAUUUUUAUUUCUCUUGGAGAGUUACCGAAAAUGGGAUUUUCGGUGGAUAUAAAUAUGUAUUUAUGAGAGAGUAUGUAUAUAAAUGCUAGCUAGCCAUAUGUGUCUGUCCACCUUAAUGGCGUAGCAUAUAGCCGCAUUAUGGUGUGACGUGAGCGUUGGACGUAAGCGUAGUAGCCCUAUUUGAGUGUGUAAUUCAUAUAGGGGGUAUGGACACAUAUUUAUACACUCGUGUGUCCACUUUGAUGGCGUAGUGUAGCACCGCAUUAAGGCGUGAUGUGAGCGUUGGACGCGAGCGUAGUAGCCCUAUAUAGACCCAUGAAUUUAUAUAGGGAGUAUGGACGAGUGUAAAUACAUAUAUAUAUUAUAGAGUCUGAGAGGCUCGAUAUUUUUGAGAUAAAAGUUUUAUCGCUUGCGGCAUGCAUUCGAUUUUUCCUUAGAAAUUAAUUUGGGGAAACAUAAAUAUUUUAUUUAUUAUUUUAUUUUUGUCCACUCACUCUAACGUUAUUAAAUGUUUUCCCCUGGGCCCUUCGUUUUAAAUUGCCCAGUCUGCAGAGUUCGGGUUGGAUCUAGUAAGAGGCGAGGCAUAGUCACCCGCAUUUCUGCCAGUUUUCGACAGUAGGUUACCUGUUCAACCUACUCGUGUUUUCUUGCUUCCGCUAGUGUUUAGUAGCUCUGAAUACUUUGGGAUUAUUGUAUAUUAUGUGUAGAAUUUCUGAAGGAUAAUUAUGUGAUGUUUGGAAGUGUUGAAUUAAGAGUGUAAUUUGGAAUUUUCGAGUUACGGUUGUCCAUCUGCAAGGGAGAUUUCCUUAAUCUUUUCAGUAAAUUUUCCUUGGAGGUGGUCCCCGCACGACUUACUCCGGGUUUCAGGGUGAAAUUCGGGGUGGGUCGUGUCAAUAUAUAUAUAGGCCGUUUCAGAUACGGACGUCCGCACUGGCCUUAAAGUGCGGACGUUCCCUCCGUUCGCCACCGUACAACGCCUGCGAGGGUGCGCCUCCACCCCAAUAGACUCCAGCAGCGUCCCCGACCAUUUCCCUCCCCGACGAGUCCGCCGAAUUCCAGUUUUCCGGCCAGAUCACCCAAAACUUCAAACAAAGUCAAUCUAGCCGGAAAACUAGAAUUCGGUGAACUCGCCAAGGAUGGAAAGUGGUCAGGGAAGCUGCUGGAGUUCGUUGGAGUGGAGGCGCGCCCUCGCCGGUGUCGUACGGUGGCGAAAGGAGGGAUGUCUGCACUUUAAGAGCCGUGCGGAUGUCCGCACCUAAUACUCACUGUAUGUGUGUGUGUGUGUAUAUAUAUAUAUUAUCAUAUAUAGGGUAGAUAUGAAGCAGAUGUCCACAACUAUGUUAAAGUGCGAACGACGACUCAAAUCAACUCCGGCGGCACCGAUUGCUUCGUUGUUCUUGCUGGUUCCAAACAAGAUCUCCAUCUUGAGCUUCUUCUCGCUGGCAGACUCGAUGGUGAUGAGUUUCGAAUCCGGGAUUGAGCUUCUUCAAGUUUCUGCAGUUUUUCCGACGUCAAACCUUCUUCUACGAUCAUCUUGGCAUUCAACUUGACGCCAUUGGCGUCUGAGGAUGGAAGAAGAGCUGCCAUAUGCAGCCACCGGAGUUGAUUUGAGUCGCCGUCCGCACUUUAACAUCUUUGUAGACGUCCGCUAAAUAUAUAUAUAUAUAUAUAAUCCUUCUCUGCUAAGGAUGUCCUUAUUUAUUCUUAUGGUGUGAAUUUUCACUUUAGACUCACUUUUCGAUCGAAUUUUCACAUCUCCACCGUCUAGUCUUUAGAUAUUAAUGUAUAGUUCAUCUCUGCAAAAAUUUCAGCCAAUUUGGUUAUCAUUAAGGCACACAAAUUCGAUUAAACCAAUGGAUGAACAUAAUUCUGUCGAACUUGAACCGUUCAUGUUUAUAACAGAAAAAUGCAGUUUUGAGUGCCUUAAUAAUAACCAAAUUGGCUGAAAUUUUGUAGAGAUGGUCUAUACAUUAGUAUCUAAAGACUACACGAUGGAGAUGUGAAAAUUCGAUCGAAAAGUGAGUCUAAAAUGGAAAUCCGCACUAUAAGAAUAANNNNNNNNNNNNNNNNNNNNNNNNNNNNNNNNNNNNNNNNNNNNNNNNNNNNNNNNNNNNNNNNNNNNNNNNNNNNNNNNNNNNNNNNNNNNNNNNNNNNNNNNNNNNNNNNNNNNNNNNNNNNNNNNNNNNNNNNNNNNNNNNNNNNNNNNNNNNNNNNNNNNNNNNNNNNNNNNNNNNNNNNNNNNNNNNNNNNNNNNNNNNNNNNNNNNNNNNNNNNNNNNNNNNNNNNNNNNNNNNNNNNNNNNNNNNNNNNNNNNNNNNNNNNNNNNNNNNNNNNNNNNNNNNNNNNNNNNCAACAAUGAUAGGUAAUGUAUUAUUUUAAGUAUAAAAUUGCCAUGAUGGGUUGAAUUGAGGUUUACUAUUUGACAUUUAAGCAUUAUUUAAUUGAAUUUAUAGGUUGACUAGACCCCACCCUGUGAAGCAAGCCGGACAAUCAGCUAGGCAAAAUUUGCCUCGUGGUUUGGUUGGGCAAGUGGGCCCUACCACAUUGAUUGCAACUAUUCAACAUCGUUGCAUAUGGUUUUCUAUAAAAAAAAAAUUUUAAAAAUUAUAAAAAAAGGGCUGAAAAUGUAUCAUAUGCUUUUGCCUUUGCCUAUUCUUGCAUAUGCUCUUACUAUAAAGUGGUCAUUAGUUGAUAUUCAGUUUUGAAGAUAAUUCCACUGAAUUAUAUAUAGAGUUUGCAGAGGGUUAACUUGUGAUGAUAGAGGAUGAUUAGUUCUACAUGCAGUUUUACUACUCUACGUAUUUUACAUCGUUGCUUGUGUCUGCAUCGGCGUCAUCUUCUAAGCUGCCAGAUUUCGGUAUUAUUAGUGGUUGGAUACGUGGUUAGCAGCCAAAGACAGUUGGCUAAUUUUAAAAGUUACAAACAGUUGUAGACUGUUUUUUCCCAAGCUUCAAAUUACAAAUAAAAAGUUGCAGGACGUUGGUUUUUCCUUCUCGUCUCAUCCUCUGCUUGCCAAUUAUAUCUAUUAUUUCUUUUACCCAAUUACAAUUUUCUUUCAUCCUUACCCUUCAUCCUUUUACAAAAAGUCUUUUUAUCAAUAUCCUAUCUUUUAUUUGAUUAACCUGAUCAUAAUCUUCUUUCAUAUUUUUUUUUUGUCGUGAAACAUAUUUAUAAAUGCCCAAAGGCAAAAGGAGGCCCAAAUAAAGUCAUGAACAGACUUAUAAACAAGUUACCCAGACUCAGAUCCAUAAAGAAUCAAGACAAGAGAAAGACAUUAAACUAUACAAAAUAAAGUCUACAACAUAAAAAGCCAAGCAGCCUAAAACACCCAAACCCUAAAAAAAACUUUUUCUUCAACUCUAACUCGUAACUGCUGGGGAGGACUUGUCGCAGAAGCUCCGACGAAAGUCGAGAGCGUGGAUAGAGAACUAAGGUGGCUUGCAAAGAUGAGGGUACGGCCGGAGCCGCCAUACAUUCUCUAGUUGACCGAUUACGAGAAGAUCUCAUAUAGAGGAACACCCACAACCAAACCAAAAAAUAUCUUAGCCAAAAAAACUGAAAUCUGUAAAGGUGGAUGCAGAAGAAAACGAAAUCCUCCAUGACAUGGCAAUGUAGAAUAGAAGAAGGAGUUUUGUUCAUGGUUUAAAGAUCUUGGGGAAGAAGGGAAUGCAAAAGCUUGCAAAUCAUCUUAAAAACAAAUCUGUGAGUAUAUCUUAGAGUUUUAGAUCUGAGCUAUGAAAACAGAUUUGAUCCACAAUGACUAAAAUCAAAAGCAAAACGAACAGAAAAUCACCACUUAAGGUGAGGAAUCACCACUAAGGAUGAGGAAUCACCACAAGGAUGAGGAAUCACCACUUAGGUGAGAGAGAUCUGAGAUAAAAGAUGGUUGAAAGAUGAGAAAGCUUGGAAUUUUACACUGAAAAAGUGAGUUUCUCAUAUCUCCUUUUUAGAUUUUAAUCUUCUUCCAUCCUUAUUCUUCAUCUUUUAAAGCCAGUUAUUCCUUUUGGCAAACAUCGCGUUAUGUUUUCUCACUAUUUCAUCUCUUUCACAUUUCAGCUUAUGUCUCUCCUUUAUCUAUCCUCAUUCAUCUCUCAUUUAGAAAUUUGUUUGUUUUGCCUACUCAACUUUGUCCAUCAUAGUGUGUAGCUAUAGCAGGUGGUAUUCUUUCCUCGGUUAGAAGUUUUCCUAUUAGGUCUUUAUCCGAGCAAGAUUUUAAUGAGGCCACCACCAUUUAUGCGACUUCAACAAAAUGGUUUGUACAUUAAGUUCAAGAGGAGGUGUGAAGACAUUCUACCAUUUUCUUGUUGUUGUUGUUGUUUAGGGUGUAUUGUUGUAUCUGAUUUCAACAGCAAGGAACGUCGAGUUGAACUUGAAAUAGAACGUGUUCUGGGUCUGAGUGAGAGAUUGUCAAUGCACAUAUGUCAGUACGUGACCAAUUUCAGCUUGCUUAUCUUCGGAUUUCUUUAGUCAUUGACUUCACUAAAGAGGAGUUUAUUAAUUGAUGUGUGGAGCACAUGAAAUCGAAAGAGGUGAAGACUCAGUUUCAUCUCUUCACUUCAGUUAUUUGUAUUUAUUGCUCACAAAAUGUAAUCACAAAACACAACGGUUAGCUAGAUACGCGCUUUUGUUUCCUGCAUUUCGUGUUGACUGAGGUUAUGUUCACAAUGAUUGUCUCAGGUACGUGUAACUGAUGUAAAUAUCUAUUUUACUAUUAAUGCAAUUGUUCCAUUCUUGAAAAAAAAAUUAAAAAAAAAAUAUUGCAUGAACUCGACACAGACUAACCAACUGUCAUACUUAAAUUCUAACGAGAUUUGGGCUAGAGUUUAUCACACAUCUUGUGCAACCUUGGACUAUGUUCAUGUUCGAUUAGCAGGGUCGUCCCACGACAACCAUGACAAACAUAAUCACAUUCGGUACCUUCAUUUCUACCACCAUAAGCUCAGUACGUAGAAGAUUAUGUCACUCUAAUAAUAACAACCAUGAAGGAAUAAUUCUUUGUUCUUAUUCUUCGAACCUUUAGGCCUCUAAAAGUAUAUUUAUGACCUAUUUUCUGAUUAAUUCCACACAAGAACACCAUAUUUGUUAACUACAGUGUAAACCUUCCACUAAGAAACUUCACUAUGAGGCUUUAUAGUAGUCCACACUUAAAUUAAUCCACUAAGAACAACUAGAAUUACAAUCUUUAUCAAGCAGUGAUGUUCAGCACAAUCACAUUCACUAGUAUGCAAACUAACUUGAUCUUUACAACUGAAAAACCUAUUCGACUUUCUGUGAACCAAAUCUGGUAUGAAGGAACUGAACACAUCUUCUUUGAAUCACACAAACCACUAAUCUCGAUUACUAUGAAAUGACUGAUGCAAUGAUGCAAGAGUAACAAAUGACAAUGAGUUUUUGAAACAUUUUCUGCAGACUAUUGAAUCAUACAAACCACUAAUCUCGAUCACUAUGAAAUGACAGAUGCAAUGAUGCAAGAGUACGUAACAAAUGACAAUGAGUUUUUGAAACAUUUUCUGCAGACUAUGCUGCAAAGCAAAUAACAACCAGUUUAAAGAAUAAAAACUCAGUGUACUCAAAUGAAUUUCGAUAUGUGUAUAUAUAGGGAGAUAAAAGCUCCCCCUCAAUCGAAUCCCCACUAAUUCUUGAUUGAGAUACACAAUGAAACUUAUUCCAAACCAAAUCAGUUAGCAGCGAAUAUGUAUUGAACUUCCUAAAACAUCUCAAACAUAUUUUAAGGAAAUCUAAUCACAAUGAAACUCAAUCUUUUCUGAAUCAGUUAUAAAAUCAUGAUAUGCAUGAGAUGCAUUUACCUUCAGAGAUCGAGAUCAGUUUUAUUGCAAGUUUACUGCAGUCAAAACAGCUUGAAACUUUGCUUCUCCUUAAUUGGAGCAGGAAACGAUCUUUCUUGAGAUUUUGGCCGAAUUUUCUUUCUCUUCCAGGUUGAAUAUGAUUGACAUGUACUUACAAUCUCCCCUAUUUUCUUCUGUAUCAGAGGUGGCACCAACAGUCUCACUCCCACUUCUUGUGGGAUUCAGGUUGAGUUCAACUACCUUCAAAGAGAGAGAGCUUCUAACAGUAGAUUCAUAUUCUUCCUCCAUAGAUUGGAAUAAAGGGAGCUCCUGAUCGAUACCAGACCUCUUCUGGCUCAAAUCCGACUGUUACUGCUCCACUAAGAAAGGAACAACAAAGCUACAAGCGUUGCAUGCACGCGAAACCCUUUUUGCCAAGCCGUUACUCACCACUUGAUGUUUGGGUGAAGGAGCAAUCGGUAUAGUACCUUUCAACUUUGCAGCCAACACCAAAACAUUGUUCUUGGGCUUUCUUGCCCUAGCAACUUCCUUAGUUCCCAGAAAACCCUAGGCUGUGGUACCAUAUUCAAACUAUCCAUAGCUUCGAGCGGAAUUCCAAAUUUAUCUUUCUCUUGCUCUCUAAGAAAAAUCAUAUCACAUCAUUCAACAGAAUUCUCAAAGAGCCUGCAGCAAUCUCUAUAAAGACCAUGGAUAUAUGUUUUCAUACGUACACAAUAUUGACAUCCACAGUGAUCCACUUCCACCUUCGCAAAAGACUACGUACGUAGUUGCGGUGAAAACGUACGAAACCUCAUCCUCGUAUUCAAUAUCAAUCGGAUUUUUUGCUCGAUCUUCAUCAGUUCAUCCUUCUAGUUACGGGUUACCUUGAUCAAAACGACAUGCACUAUAACCUCCCAAUUGAGGACGCAAUUAUAUUGAUAAUAGGACUGCUACCCAAGUUUCCACGUAUUCAUAGUGGAUUGGCCUCCGGCGCCGAGACCCCAUCGUACCCCGUCACCGCUAACCUCGCUUUUCUGUAAAACCAAGGACGUAACACAGACCCACAGUGAAGUAUGUGGUUUCGUUCUGCAUCUCAAUCGAACUUAUGGAUAUGGAGACCGGAUCUCAUCUUCCGAACUAUCGGCAUCUUUCCUAGAAAACCAUGAGGAUAUAUAUAUAGAUUCAAUAGCCAUAGGCCAUAUAGCUGAAGGUGACCAAAUGUUAUUGUAUUUGAUAGUCCAAUGUAUCUUUAGCCGUAUUACCGUGAAGGCUAGGUAAUCACAAUAUAUAUAUGUAUAUAUAUAUAUAUAUAUAUAUAUAUCUUUUGUCCUUGUAAUUAACCAGCUCGAUUAUUAGUUCAUGAACAGACAUGGGUACGUAUCUGGUGAGUUUUUCUAAAUAUAUUUCUUAUUUAAGAAAAAGUUUCUACAGUCAAGGACGGACACAUAGUCUAUUCAUUCUAACUCCAAGAAAUAUAUCAGAAUAGAUAAAUUUUAGCUAGCCCGGUGAAUCUGCUCAUUCGAUUACCUAUAGCUUUAAUUUGUAAUUGAAGAAUUGAAGGCCAGAUUCUCUUUAACUCCUACGUAUUUCAAACCUUUAAAAUUAAACAGCAACGUAUGUACGUUCUAAGUUAAUCCAGAACCUUAGUGUGUGUGUGUGUGUAUGGAUCAAAUUCUUGUAACCUCAUUCAAUUUUACUUAUAGAAGAAGAAAAACUCAUUCAAUUUUAUGUAACACACAAACACACCAUUUCUUUAUUUCUCGUGAUCAGAUUGAUAGACUACAAUCUAUACAAACUGUAAUUACGUAUAUAUUUUCAUGCACGAACAAACUGACAAAGAACCCAGAAGGCUAAAGAUAUCGAGGACCGGCCAGCAAGGAACAAGAGAAUUGGAAUUCCGAGUCCCAAAUCCACAUCACAAACACACAAACUCCAAAUCCAGAUAUAGAAACGGAAAACAUAAAUAAACAUAACAAGUAAGAGAGUCUAGCUAUCCAACCCUAGCCUCUCUGGCACCAGGCAGUAACAUAUAGUACUUGAUCAUCAAUUUGGAAGGCCAGCGACCUCAAUAUUUGCACAGCACAUGAUCAGAGAGGUCCUCCUGGACUUGUGGUCAUCAGUCUCCAAGUACUUAAGCACUCUGUCUUUGAUAUCAUCGUCUUUCUCAAUCUCCACGCUUGAGCAACAUAUCCACAACGACCUCUUCUUGGAGAAGAACCCGCACCUUUUCUUCUUCUUCUUCUUCUUCUUCUCGUACUUAGAGGAAUCGAUGAUCAGCGACACGUCUGCGGUGGGUUCGGACACCAUUGAAAGGUUGGAAUUAGUGUUUGCUGUUGAGAGUGAGGAUGAAUGGUGUGAGUCUGGAGUUUGGAGAUAGAUCUGCAGCUUCUGCUGAAGCUUUUUAUUGACGUGAGGGAUCCCUCCUGGGUUUCUAGUCAACGGGAGCUGAAGGUGACCCUCAGAUAUUUAAUUUGAUGUUCAAAGUCCAAUUCUUAGCCGUGUAUAUAUAUGUUGUAAGGGAUCUCGAUCAUGAUGCAUGUAAAUAAAAGAACUAACCUAGUUGAACAAGCUACGCUGUUUGCCAACUGACGCAAAGUUGAACGAAAGGAUAUGAAUAUCUUGUACAGGAUUCGUGCUGGAACUACAAACCUAGAUAUGAAUUGAUGGUUGCAUUUCUACAAAACAUCCAUACGAUCAAAGUGUAUGAAUAUAUAUAAUAGAGCAUAGAGCUUUUUGCUACUGGAAGGGGGUUUUGCUUAACGUCAUUGUAGAUCUAACAAGGUUAGGGCUUGGUUUUGCCUUUGAGGCUUGAGCUUGUCCAGGACAAUAAUAUAGCUUAUUAGGGUUUAGCCUAAACAUGACUAACGUAGGUACGUACCCUGCAAAUGCAUGCUCUUAGGGAUAGCAAGGGAUGAGUUGUUUGGCAUCCCAUUUUCAAGUACUUAAAACGGAGCGUGACAUGUUGAAAUGUGAAAUGUAGAACGAUAAUAAGGUUUUGAAUCCAUCUUCUUACUAUUUUAAGCUUACUAGCCUCAGUUUCUUAGGGUGUGGGCUUGGGCCUCGGUCUUGGCCGGCGUUUGGGCUUUGAGCCCUGCUAAGGUAACUCUAUGUUUAUGCCUUUUUUAUUUACUAAUGUUAUUUAUUUUGGGUUCCAAGUUUAUGGGCUCACUUCACCCUCCAUCCCCAUGUGGAUUAUACUGGCCACGUCUAGAACGGGAGGACUCGAUUUCUCACACUGAUGUCAAUCAAUCUCAUUUUUUAUCAAAUUUUUGGUCACCCAAUACCAAAACUACCCAUCAAUUAUCAUUGCAAACUUUCAUGAGAGUUUGUGUGGCUACACGCUUAAAGUGCAAUUUAGCACUUAUCUAUUAGAUUAUGGGUGCUCACGCGUGGGUUCAUCACCCCCAACCCCUAUUUUCUUUGGUUUGGUUCUUAGUACUCUCUCGUCAACCGCAGCUCUUUCAUGAUUUGGGUUUCGAUGGUGGAUAGUAUGGUGUUAUUUGGAGGGAGUUUUUUCUCUAGGUUGUGGGUUUCCAUAUAAUUUGUGUAUUGGGAUUUGUUUGGCAUCAGGUAUCCGGACUUCAUUGCUUCGGUUUAGUACUCCUCACUACCUCGUGGCUGUUGGCAGAGAUGACGACGACAAUGUCAGCAAACACCGGUGGUGUGUGUGGUAGCUUUUGUAGUAUUGUUGCAUUUCUUUUAUCGGAUGUAGGGCCUUUAGUCUAUAGAUUAGUGAGUUGUAUGUUUCUUUUCACUCUUUCUCAUUGCAUUGAGUUAGAGACUUAUACUCUUUGUUACUAGCUUUCUUUCCGUCUUGUUUUUAUGGGAUUUAUAAUUGGGUUUGUCUCGUGAUUAAUAAAUUAUUUUUUUCUCUCUAACAAAAUAGUAGUCAUAUUAUCGUAAGAGAAACCUCUUUCGCUGUCGCGUGGUCAACAUCACCGUCAAAAAUGUGGGACCCACCGGCAGUCGUAUAGUUCAUCGGAGACCAUCGGGUCUUGCCUAAGCAAAGACCCGGAUUAUUACCGCCCGAUCCGUGAAACGGUCCAAUAUAUAACCCGAAAAAAAGAGUCCAGGCCCAAUUUUGAAAAGGCGGGUACAAGUAAAUCCAACUUGCAGGUGUGUUGCAAAAACGGGUCUUUUCUGGUUCGCCUGCAGUCUCUUAUCUUCCACCUCCAAAUGCCGUUGUCUCACCUGUAAGUUCCUUCUUCUCUCUCCCUCUAAGAAAUUCUAACACAUUCACUGACAUGGGUUCUCUUUCUCUUCUUACCCAUUUUCUGACUCACCUCGAAAGCUCGGGUCUUGAUGAAGAAAAUGGAGUGAAAAAGCAAGGACAUGAACGCUUCAACUGAGCUUCUGCUCUUUUUUUUCUUUUUUUUUUUUCUGGUUUAUGGUCUUGAAUAGGAAGUGGGUAUCUUAGUGUUAGUAAGUUUGAACCAAAGUUUGAAAUUUUCUGGCAAUAGUGUGGUUUUACUAUAAACGAAUGAAUUGUGAACAAUGUACUACAGAAAUGGUGUUGAUGUUGUACUAGUGGUGGAAUGUUGAAUAGUUACAAUAAAAUUUAGUGUUCUGCUGACUGUAAGAAAACUUGAUGUCAAACCCAUUGUGAGAUAUUGAAGAUGUUUUUCGUUACAAUGGCUUUAGCUUGCAAUUGAAAUUUAGUAGUCUAGUGUAUUAACUGUAUGUGUAAAUGUAUGCUUAAAGAGGCUGGUCAGAUUUCUAUUCUUCAUGUUGGAAUUCUGGUGAAGUUCUUGUACAAUUGUCUGGUACAAAGUAGUUGCUAAAUUUCUAAUAAUUUUGUGCAUGAUGAUUUGCUUCAGUGAUUAUGAAUUGUUUACAAACAGAGGUGUGUUUAUUAAGUGGUUGUGUCUUUGCAUAUGUAACUUGUAAGCUGAUAACUUAUAAUGAUAUCAGCUUCAUAUUGAUAUGAAAUUCAUUUUUAAUUAACCAGUCUGUUCUAUCACACUUAUAAUUUCUAACAGGAGAUUGUCCGCUCCAUAUUCAACCAUUGAUCGUGUUCCGCUGUUCGGAUAUGUGGUGGAAACCACCCACUUUCCACAGAACAUGGAGCAUUUGAAUUAUCAUUUACGUGUUCUGAGGAAUCGGCCUCCGUUGAUUGCCUCUACCAAUUCUUCCCCUCAACUUCACUACAUUGGAGCCAUGCAGAUCAGUGUUGGCAUGGAUGAGAAAUGUGAUAUUGCCAACCUCAGCCAUUCAAUAGUUAGCAGAAAGUCACGAGAGCAGCAAAACAUAAGAAAGGAGGUUCGAUUAAUUGGUCAGAGUGACUCUACUGUAAGUAUUAGCAAUGAAGAAAUAAAGGAAAGAGAAAGACGAAAGAAAAUAGGACUAGCAAACAAAGGAAAAGUGCCAUGGAACAAAGGCAGGAAACACAGUGCAGGUAAAGGGACAUAUAUUUAUAAAUUACAGUGUGUAUAUUUUUUAUUCGAUUUUGAAUACUCAUACAUUGGUUGAAUCUUUAAGUUGUGAUUUUCCACAUAAUGCAGAGACUUGCGAGCGCAUCAGGCAACAUACAAUAGAAGCCUUAAAAGACCCCAAGGUGAAGUCAUGUAAGAUUUAUCAAGUAUUAUGAUAUUUUUCUUCUGCACAUGGGUGUUUUUGAAUGGCACGAAAAAGCUAAUAUUAUAGUUUUCAGUAGUCAUAGACAGCAGAACUUAUGUAAAGAAGAGUAAUCAUUUUUCAGUCCUUGUACUUCUUUGAAAUCUCCUUAUAUGAUCCUCAGUAGUUUUCAGGUUAGAAAGAAGAUGUCCCAGCGCCCCCGCUCACAUAGGUACGCUCAGAGACCUUUACAUAUGCACUCUUAUUGAAAGUUAAUAACUAAAAAAAACUAGCUGGAUCAUCAUCAAACUUCCUAACAAGAGUAGGUUUAGGCUCUCAAUUUGUGGAAACCAAAAAUAAGUUUCAGUACUCAGUUUCAAUCAUAGUUACUUUGUAAUUAUACAUGCACAGACGAUGGAACAUAGACGAAUUCUGUGAUCCUGUGGUUGAUGGUUCUUUUUUACUCUAAAAAUGGUUGUCCGGAAGAAAGUAAUUUCUUUUAUUGUUUUUGGAGGCACCUUCAUGUUAAAGUGAACUCUAGAGGUUGCUAUUUGGUAGAAUGGUUAUUAGAAUCUAUGGGGACUAUAGGUGUAUUUAUGUUUUGAACUCUUCCUGCAAAUAUUUGAAGUUAAUCCAUCAUUCAUCAAAGGAAGAAGGAAUAAAAGAUCACAUCCACAACCUGUUCAUUGGGCCUCACUACAUAACAGAGAGAGAGAGAGAGAGAGAGAGAGAGAGAUCUACGUUUGGGAUCUUAAACACUAGAAACCAAUCUUGUACAUACGAAAGGUAACGUUUGUCUGCUGAUACGUUGCUGUUGUUGUUUGUUUAACAAGUGUCUGGCUCUUUGAGAGAGUUAAGACCAGAGAGAGAGAGAGAGACCACUUUGGGAUCUUAAACACUAGAAACCAAUCUUUGUACAUCGAAAAGGAACUUUGCUGCUGAUACGUUGCUGUUGUUGUUUGUUUAACAAGUGUCUGGCUCUUUGAGAGAGUUAAGACCACCAUGCCACUCAAUUUUAAUCACAUUUUGAACUGUUAUGUAGUGAGGAGUCCAAGGCAAAAAUGAGUUCUUCACUCAGACGUCUUUGGGGACAGCGUUUAAAGUGGAAAAGGUCAAGGGAGAAGCUCUUUCUGUCAUGGGUAGAAAGCAUAACAGAGGCAGCUAAGACAGGUGGAAAUGAGCAACAAGAGCUAAACUGGGAUAGUUAUGAGAUUAUACGGGAAGAAUUAUAUCUGCAACAGCUGCAGCAGGCUGCCGAAAAGAAAAAGGCAAAGGAACGGGCAAAGAUGAGAGCCAAGGAAGCAGCGGCACGAGCUAAAGAAAAAAAGAAGGCACGGCUUGCUGUUGAGAGGAAAGCAGAUGGAGAGUUGACAUCUCUAAAAGGGCUGAAAGUUAAGCGGAGAUCAACGAAGGUAAUUGCUCAUUAACCAAGAUCAAGUUCAAUAUAGCUACUACAUUUGUAGUAUCUCAUUUAAAAGAUAGACAUAUAUGAACAAUAAAGAAUUACUUGAGAAAAAUAAAGAAGCACAAAUAUCAGGUUUGAUGAAUAGGUCACAGAUGUUAGGGCUUUUCCUUACCAACACAUGAUCAUGUAGUGAGGGCUUUUGAAUGAGUCAAAUUCAAUUAGGAAUGCGUCCUGAUGUACAAAUAUUGUAAUGAAUCCUUUCCUAUUUUUGAGGAAAAAAAAAAUCCUUUUCUUAUUUUGGAUGGGACAAUUUAUGCCUUGCAUAUAUAAAAGACCUGAUUCUCAAAACCUGUUGGAAUUCUUAAGCUUGUAUCCUGAAUCCAUGGUCGCUAACUGUUCCAGAUUUCCUGGCUUUUAAAAUAAAGGGUACCUUUUUUACAAGUAUGUUACUUCGAUUCUUUAAUGCUUCACAGUCCUGUCUUAGUGUUGUGACAUGUUUUUUUUCUCUUUCUAAAGCUUGACAGAAAGACUUUUACAAAUGCUCAAGUUGCUAGCCGAAGGAACAUAGUUGCAUCGCAAUUACGUAUCUCGGCUUUGGAGAAAUUGGAUGUAGAGCUCAUAAAGAAAGAAAAAAUGCGAGCAGAAGUUUCAUUUGCAGACCAGAUAAGAGCUGCCAAAAACAGAAAAGUGGAACAAGCUAUGGCUGCCCCAUGUACCGUGGUACUACACAACAAACCAGGGAUGCAUACACUUCUGCAGUCUCAGUAGUUUGUUACCAUAAGAGAAAAGGAAAAAGAAGAAAAAGGAAAGUGGUGAUUACUAUGAACUCCACCCCUACGCCUCCUGUGUUUUCAAUUUCAACAUCUCAUUACCCUAGAUUUUCAAACUAGACAGUUUUCUUGUUUAGCUUAAGGUAUCUUCUAGGUUUGUAUAAUGAGAAAUCUUGGGACUUCUUGACACCUUUUCCAACUAGUGGCUGGAAUGCCCUUUUUUCUUUCCAGGGCUUCUUGUUAAAAUAACAAGAAGGUUCGGCUGCUAUUUGCAGUGAACCUGUUACAAGCAGAAUUUGCCUGUCGUUAACAUCCUGAUGCAGUUGAACGUUCAGAUGAAACUCCCUACCAAUUUUGGUGUUUGAUUUGAUGCUGUUGGAUAGGUUGAGAAUGUAGAACUCCCUGAGAAAACAAGGAUGAAUCUCCAACAGAGUUCUGUGAGGGAAAGGAAUUGAAAUUUUGGAGUUCAUGUAAAUUGUUACACAUUCUCAUUUGAAAUGCAAGAGCAUAUUUCAUAUUUCUUUUUAUCCUCGAGCUAUCAGAAGGGAGCGGCACUUAAAGGAAACACAAACAGGUCAGGGUCGAGCUAUCAGAAGAGAGCGGCACUUUAAGGAAAUACAAACAGGUCAGGGUUGUAGUGAAGUAGGCUACAAACUAUAUCCAUGGAAAAAGGAACAAGUAAAAGAAUUACCAAUGUCUGAGCAUUGUCAUACAAAAUUUUGCUCCCUGUACUUCAGUCUUGAGAAAAGAAUGUAUAGAUUGGCAUCAUGAAGUGAAAUCCCAUUAUUCCACAGGGUCAAUCUAACAAUCUUGUCAAGAAGGAUAAAAUGCAGGAUGUUAUAGAAAAGAUACAAAAGAUACGACAUAAAAUGCAAAUCAAAAAGCACCACAAAACAAAAAUAACUAAACAGUCUGCUUUCAGCAAAUUAUGUGCACUACAUGAAAUAACUCAUAUUACAUAGCAAAGGAAUGAUCCGAUUAUUCACAUCCAGCUAUGACAAUGAUAUUAUAACCACUCAGAUAAAAGGCAAACCAGGUCCCGACCCAGCAAGGAGUCGAACACAAAGCUAGUAAAUGAAAAACCACCUAGAGGCGCAGCCACCUAACAUCUCUCUACAGCAUGCCUGACUGCCUACAAAGACUGAUGGCAGCAUAGCAUGUAACCUCAAUAGCGGUUUUGACCACCACCAUUGUCCCUCUCAGGUGAAUAGUUAGUUUGGUAUUGCGCAGGAUCAGACCAUGAUGGCGCAGGUUGUCCUCCCAUUUGUGGCGGUGGUGGCCCUCUCAUAUUGUUGUUUGGAGGCAUCUGAUUGUAGUUGUUCGGAGGCCCCUGACUGUAGUUGUUUGGAGGCCCCUGAUUGUAGUUGUUUGGAGGCCCCUGAUUGUAGUUGUUUGGAGGCCCCUGAUUGUAGUUAUUAGGCGGCCCCUGAUUGUAGGUCGGCUGCCCUCCACCCCAGUUGUUGUUCGGCUGCUGCACAUUGUUGUAGUUUGGUGGUGCACUCAUGUUAGGAGGCAUUGGAGCUCCGUUCACAGGUGGAGGAGGCAUAUUACUGGGUGGACUCAUGUUGUUUGGAGGUCCAGCGUUGCCAGGGCCAUUCGGCCCAGGUUGAUUAGGCAUGGGAGGGGCACCCCUAUUCUGGAAAUCUCUGCGCUGCAUGUUUUCCCUUCUGUUGUUAAAGUUCCUUGAAUUGUCAAAGUUCUUAGGUCUAUCAUUGCGCCUGUUUCUCUCGUUUGCCCGACUAUUGUUUCUUAUCCAUUCCUCAUGGUACUUGGGAUCAUAUGCUACUGCUUCCCCAUUGAUAAAAGGUUCUCCUGACAAAACAACCAGUAGACGGAUUCAUGAACUAAUUCUUGCAGCCAAACUAUUGAUAAACCAUAACAUAGAAACAGUUCCACAUGACAAAAUCACUAACAUCAUUGAUCAUCAAAGACUCUAUUAAAAAGAGCAAGUACUGAAAACUUCUAAUUUUACUCAUUGAAAAUCAAAGAAACAAGCAUGUUCUUACCUCCAUAAUCUUUGUUCUUAACAUCCAAGUACGAAUCAGGAAGAACCCAGCGGACCUUUGGCAAAUCUGGAAGAAUAUAAUGAAAACACAAGUGAGAUAACCCGGAAAGCCAAGCAAUAAUAAAAAAAUACAAGCAGUUAGAGCCAGAAGUACCUUUAAGUUUGUAUGAAAGCUCUUCAGACACAAGUGCACCAAAUGCAAAGUAACACUUAGUGGAAACAGAGUAGAUCUUCAUCCUCGCUUCUUCUUCACUGGUUGAGAUUCAUACAGGACACAAUAUUAAUUAGCAAGUAAACUUGCACAACUAUCACAUUUCAGACUGUAAAUAAACUCUCGACAACGAACACGAAAAGCAAAGAUGCCCACAUAACUUAUCAUAAACCUAAUUAUGCUAUUAACUCUCAAAUUACAGCCUAUCAACAAAUUCCAAAUAGUUGAAAGAUCAUAGCUACAGAUUAAAACAACAAGCAACGCAAAUUCCGAAAACAAUACAAAUCAGCAGAAAUGAAAAUAGUCUCUUUUCAUUUCAAUUACUCACAAAUAGAAUAAAGAGAGAGAUUAUUAAAACAGUAAAGAGUUCGAAAUGGGUAACCUGCCGACGACCAUGGCUAGGGUUUUGAUGUACUCCUUGAUGAGUUCCUCCCUGGUGGUGUUCUCCUCCGGCGGCUCCAUGACGACGAGCCAGUGCUCGAAGUCGCAGCCAUCGAGGAGGAUAGUCUCCUUGGGAGGGCGGUUGGACCAGUUGGGGUUGGGAUCGCGGAGCGAGGAGGUGGUGGCGUUGGCGGAGAAGCACCGGACGACGGGGGGAGAGAGCUUGCCGGCGGAGGAGAUGGCGGCGCCGGCGAGGGGGCGGAGGCGGUGGAGGAGGGAGAGGGAGGAGCGGGAGUAGGCGGAGGAGAGGGUGGCGGUGGUGGCGGAGGUGGCGGUGGAGAGGGAGCGGGAGAGGAAGGAGGAGGAGAGAGGGGCUAGGGUUUUGGGGAAGGAGCGAGAGAGGAAAUGGGUCGCCAUGGUUUGAUAAACCCGGAGAUGGAAACUGGGGAGGAGAUAAGAGGCCAGGGCCUUAGGGUUUUGGAGACCAGAUUUUUAUAGGAGUCAGAGUGAGAGAUGCGACUGUAUUUACCUUUUUACCCCUCGGGCACUUCUGUUUCAUUCUGGAAUCUGGACCAAUUGUAGUUUCUAGGCAAUUAUUUUCUGAUAUAUAUAAUUGUAAACAUGGAAAUUUGUGAACAAAUAACACAUGUACAAAAUGAUGAUUUUCGUUCAAUAUUGAAAAUGCAGGUACAAUCUUUGUAAGUAAUUCUUUCUCCGGGCUUGGUUUGGAUUCAGUGGUGUUGGCCACUUCUUGAAUCAGCUUGAGGUCCACAAGGGCUGCCCCUGUGGAUUAGAGUUCUUCUGUUUUGGUGGUGAACGAGUCGACUCCCGAUGGCUUAGUGGUUCUUCACGGAGUUUUGGUGACUUCUGAACUUUAUCUCAUAGUUGUAUUUCAGAAUGUCAAAAAUCCCACUGAAUUUGACCAUUUCAAUUGUAUGUAGGCUAGCUCGCGAUCGAGCUAAAUCUAUUUGCAAUGAGGGUAUUCAUCAGUUAGUUUGAUUUCUUUACUACCAAAGAGUUUUGGUAACCCGAUAAUUGAUGUAAGUGUCUUCCGACUAAAUGGAUAAAUGGGUCUGGUUUAAGGGACGCUCUUUUUUACACCAUUUUGUAGUCAUUAGAUUCUCUACCAUUUAAUGGUUAAGAUUAAUUGCAAUUAUGACAUGAAGUGGAAUGUAAAUUUCAGUACCUUUUUUUUUCGACAAGCAACAAAAGGGCAAAACAGACCUUUCAAUAAGAUGAAUUUACCACCAUGAUUCCCUAAUUGAAAAAGAAAAUAAAUUGGUAAGUUGGGCCUGGACGGGUCAACCCGCCAAAGACAUGUCAGUUGUAGGAAGCUUCAAAAUGAUAAAUUGGUUUGUCUGCUAUACCGAACUGUAUAGCAUGUUUAUGACUAAAAGAGGGGGUUCAACAAUGCUUAUGACUAAAGGAGGGGGUUCAAUAAGGGGUGGUGGUUGGUUGAAUUUUUUGUCACAGAAUUUGCAAGGUAUGCUAUACCGAACGGUAUAGCAGAAUUUUUUCUUUUUUUAUAUAUAUAUUUUUUUAUCAUAUAUUACAACUUACUUGAGUCAAACUCACAACCUACUUAUUAAAAAGAGAUUAUGCCGCUAGACCAAAUGAUACUAAACAUUGAUAACACAAUUUUGGGUACUCCUAUUGUUGUCCUUGACUAAUUGGUUUCAUUAGCAAUAUUCCAACCAAACUCCCCAGAUUGCUGAGCUGAUGAGUUAAAAGAGUGGGCAGAUAGUGAAGCAACUAACACCAACCCUACACAGUCAAUAAUCAGCUCACCUGAAAUUAUGAAGUUCCCAGUAAAGCAAGUCACCCUUUUCCUCUCUUUCUAAUUCUCUGGUUUCUUGAACCUCUCCCAACUCCCAGAACUUCCAUUUUUCCAUUGCCAACAACUAAACAGUACGAAAGCAAUACCAAGUCAACUACAUAGUUUUCCAUGUGUCUUAAGUUUAUCCCUUUUAUCAAAGCUGGCUUCUUCUCUAGGUUAACUUGUGUGGUAACACCAAGUUUGGUGUGUUAGCUCAUCUCCCAUAAUAUCCCUCAGACACUCCACAAAUAUCGCAUUUUCUCUCAAGCUUUCACUCUUUCCUCACAAUGGAGUUGCCGGUGAAGAAUCCGGUCCGUGGUGGCCAGAGAACUCCAUACAGACUUGAAACCAGAAAUCUGAGCUACAAACUAUGUGCUCAGUUUGAUGAAAUGAAGGUGCUUUGUGGUGCUGCUAGUUCCAGGAGAGUUCCAACCUUCAUUUUGAAGAAUGUGAACUGUGAAGCAAGGCCUGGUGAGAUAACUGCAAUAGCUGGUCCAAGUGGAGCUGGGAAAACCACGAUGCUAGAGAUUCUUGCUGGAAAGAUCUCCCCAAGGAAAGUGUGUAGUGGUCAAGUGCUGGUUAAUAAUCUUCCCAUGGAGGCUGAAAGUUUUCGGCGAAUGUCAGGGUAUGUUACUCAAGAUGAUGCUCUAUUCCCAUUACUUACAGUCGAAGAAACACUAACGUAUAGUGCCCUACUGAGGCUUCCUGGUGGGAGAAAAGAGGCUGCAGCCAAAGUGAGGCAGCUGAUGAAAGAGCUUGGGCUGGAACAUGUUGCGGCUUCAAGAAUCGGUGGGGGAUCAUCAAGCAAUAAUGGCAUUUCAGGUGGAGAAAGGCGCAGAGUUUCGGUUGGAGUUGAUUUAGUGCAUGAUCCAGCUGUGAUUCUGAUUGAUGAACCAACUUCAGGCCUGGAUUCUGCCUCAGCUUUCCAUAUAGUGUCAUUGCUCAAAACAAUGGUUGUCAAUCAAGGCAAGACUAUUGUUCUCACCAUUCAUCAACCUGGUUUUCGGAUCCUAGAGUUGUUUGAUCGCCUUGUUCUGCUUUCCAGUGGAACUGUCAUGCACAACGGAUCCAUGCGUCUUCUCAAAGAAAGGCUCAAGUUUGCAGGCCAUCGCAUCCCCAACCAUGUCAACAUGCUUGAAUUUGCAAUCGAUGUUAUUGAAAGCUUGGAUACACAAAUCCCAGAAGCCUUAAGCAACCAACGUUUCCUCAGAGGUAAUCAUAAGUUUGAGCUUCAUUUUCACAGUUCAGAAGAAAAGAAGCAACUCCACCGGAAUUCUAGACUCGAGGAAGUUGUUAUACUAGGAGAAAGAUUUUGCAGCAACAUUUUCAGAACCAAGCAACUGUUUGUCACAAGAGUCAUACAAGCCUUGGUAGCUGGGUUACUACUGGGAACCAUAUUUCUGAAUGUAGGCAGAGAACAAAGUACAAUUGCUUUACAAACCCAAACUGGUUUUUUUGCCUUCAGCCUCACUUUCUUGCUAUCGUCCACUACAGAAGGCCUGCCGAUUUUUUUACAAGAGAGAAGAAUACUAAUGAGUGAGACUUCCAAAGGAGCUUAUAGAGUUUCCUCUUAUGUUAUAGCAAAUACCCUCAUAUUUCUUCCUUUCCUUUUGAUGGUCGGUAUUCUCUUUUCCACUCCGGUUUACUGGUUGAUUGGAUUGAGGGGAGACGUCGACAAGUUCAUCUACUUCAAUCUUGUGGUCUGGAUGGUUCUUCUGAUGUCCAAUUCUGUUGUAGCAUGUUUCAGCGCUCUCGUGCCGAACUUCAUCAUGGGGACAUCAGUUGUUUCAGGGCUAAUGGGAUCAUUCUUUCUCUUUUCGGGCUACUUCAUUCCGAAGGAUAACAUUCCAAGUUACUGGCUUUUCAUGCAUUACUCGAGUCUUUUCAAGUACCCUUUUGAGUGCUUUAUGAUAAAUGAGUAUGGAGGGGAGCAGGGAAGAAGGUGCAUUCAGAUUAUUGAUGGAGUAUGCAAUCUAUAUGGGAAUGACUUGUUAAGACAGCAGACUUUGAGAGACACACAAAAAUGGAGUAAUUUGGCCGUGAUGCUGGGUUUCAUAGUUGGAUAUAGAGUCCUUUGUUUUCUUAUUCUGUGGUACAGAUGCUACAGAAAUAGAAACUAGCUAGAAAGUUUUCAUAUAGAGAUAUACAAAUUGUUGAUGUGGUUCCUGUUUUCAAUUCUUUUGUAUAUUCUUUUAGGAUGAUCAAACUACAAUAUCAUCUUCAUAUAUAAAAAACUAGCCAUUACUGAAAGCUAGCCAUUACUGGGUUUGGUACCUCAAUUCCACAAUACUGUUUAAUUUCAGCCUUUCUCCGAGAGCACAUGCAUUCAAGUUCAAUCUGGGUUCUAGCACACAGUAUUCAUCAAAAAGAGAAGGUCUCUAUACAUGAUACCUGGAUAUAGACGCAGGAAUGUAAGGGUCUUUAUAUAGUCAGGAGUCGGGACUUUCUUUACAGACUAAAGAAGAUAAAGCCUAGGUGAUUAUAAAACUUUACAUGAAUACUGUUACCCUACAAAAUGGUUGAAGGGCUAUUUCAUAGCUUAGGAAAGCAAAGAAUGAUAUGGCCACUUGGUCUCCAAAACAAGUAAACAACUAAUAUGGAUCCUAACCAAACAAAACAGUACCAGAAAGAUGCUUCGCAGUCCUAAUUGGUUCGGUCAUAUAUAGAAUUGAAGGUCAUGGUAGCAAAUGAAGUAGUGACUUGUUCUGAGGAAGAUGACGAUUGGAGAACCCUUCCAGAAGGUGAUAAUGAGUAAGAUGAGUGUUUAACUUCAGCUGAAUCUCUCUGAUCCAUGAACUCAGAAAGCAUUCCAGGUUUGUCUAUCUUCUCCUCAUCCACGUCUAUCUCACCUGUCAGCAUCUUAACAACCAUAGACAUGGAUGGUCGGAGCUUAGGCUUGUCUUGGGUGCAAAGAAGACCAAUCUUCAUGAAUCUGCAAGCCUCUUCAACAUUUAAAUCUUCAUUUAAAAAAGUAUCGAUCAACUCCGCCAGCUGACCUCUCUCAUGCAGUUCCCAUACCUGCAACAGCAAAAAAAUUCUUUCAAUAAGUUUUCUCAAGAUCCUAUUAGUAUAUUUUAGAUUUGCCAAUUAUUAACUAUUACAUAUCUCAGUAGGAUAUUCAAUUGGUGAUGACACCAAGUUAUGAAGCCAAAACAUAUAUUAUGCACGAAAAUGAAAAAGGAUAACUUUUAAAAUUAAGAAGAGGGUUCUCACAAUUAAACAGCACCUAAAGCAGCUCAAAGAAAACUCAAAGUUCUGGAACAUUUCAUGUAGUUUCACUUUUUAACACAUUUCAAUGUAAUUACAGGGUCCCUAGUAAAUAUUCACUGUGAAACAUGGAUGUCUUUGUAUUUAUAUGGAGUACUUAUAUGGAUGAUAAAUCAUUUGUUGAAAGCUUGUAAUAUGCAAGUUAUACUGAGUACUAACAACAUUAAAAAUCUUAAGUAUGCCCUUUCAAGAAGAAAUCUUUCCUCCUUACUACAAAGAACAAGUAAAAGCUAUAAUCUAGUCAAAAUAAUUUAAUUUAGCGAUACGAGGAAAUACUUAUUGAUGACACUAGCUUCAUAGAUUUAUACCCUUUCAAGGAGAUACUGUUCUUUGGGCGGUAAACGUCUGUUUGUGUUGCACCUGCCGCUAACAAUUUCCAAGACUAAAACACCAAAACUAUAUAUAUCUGCUUUCCUUGUCACUUGACCUCGUAUGGCAUAUUCAGGUGCUAAGUAACCUCUGAAAAAAUCAAUCAGGAACCCAAAUAGGUCAACAAACAUGUGUAAUUUAAGAAAACAUUUCGAAAACAAAAAAAAACAAAAAACAAAAAAAAACCGGAACAGAAAAAAUACUUUUAAAGCUAGACCAUGAAGUCAAGUCAUUAACAUUCUGAAAUACCAUGAUAUUAAAGUAAAAUUGUAUCAUUAUUCAGUCAUGUAACCUUCAGACAUCCAUACUAUUUCUUAAACUAUAGCGUGAAGGCUAUAUUGAUGUUCGGACAACUUCUAAAAUCAAACUAGCAUACUACCAACACCAAAGACUUUCACCAGUUUGAUAAAUCUUUUAGGAUAAACUUUUCGAACUAAAGUUUUUUCAAUUAUUUCUUUAAAACCCUCAGAGUGGUACAUAAAUUACUUUCAUAUGAAUUCCACAGGAAAUAUAAACAGAGUAGAACUGGAAAUAGCGAACUUACGCUGUUCCAGCGACACGGGUACUAACAUGGGUCAAGUUGGGAGCGAUGAACUUUGCAAGACCAAAAUCUGAAAUUUUGGGCGAGAGGUCUUCAUCAAGGAGAAUAUUGCUUGCUUUAAUGUCUCUGUGAAUAAUAUGGGGUUGAACAUCCUCAUGGAGGUAAGCGAGCCCCCUUGCAAUACCAAUGCAGAUUUUACACCUUGUUUGCCAACUAAAUUGGAUGCCACUUUGGCCUCUACCUAUAAAUGCAGAGGACUAAGUCAUCAUCCAGACAUUCAAUUAAUUCAAAUAAAGACCAAGUACUGGACUUACCAAGAAGAGUUUGUGAAAGGCUAUUAUUCUCGAGAUAGCCAUAAACUAAUAUCCUGUGAUUUCCUUCAGCACAGCAACCAUAUAGCUUAACUAGGUUCUCAUGAUUAACACUUGCAAUCACCUCAAUUUCUGUUAAAAAUUCUCGCGACCCUUGCCUAGAAUCUCCUGACAAUACCUUUAUUGCUGCCACAGAGCCAUCCUUGAGUGUUCCCUGAUCGAACACAUAUCACAACAAUGUGGGAGAGGCAAAAGUCAAUGGAAGAGUUUUUAGGACAAUCAAGUGGUAUUGACCAAGUACUCCUCAAAAAUGAUAACCAAAAAGCAUUCUCUGUGAUAUUACCUUGUAUACGGAGCCAAAGCCUCCCUGCCCAAUUUUAUUUUCGCCACUGAAAUUUUCAGUGGCAUUCCGCAGUUCCUUGUAAGUGUACAGUUUGAGAUUCGAAAUACCUGAAACAACUGCACCCAUACAAUCACAUUUAGAAGCCUUUACGGUAGGAUAGAAAUGCAAUGCAAACCUCAAAUAGAACAUUAUUUUCCUUUUGUUGAAAAGCUUGACAGUUGAAGUUAUGGACAUAGUAACACAGCGCAAUUUAAUGGCAUGUAAUACAAAGUAAACAAAACAAGACAUAAUCAUAAAAACUUUGAGAGCAUACAGUCAAAAUAAAAUGAUCAAAGGAUGUAUCAAAGUCCUCUUCAUGCAUAAUAUGUGUAGUUACACAAAGUAAAUGAGAGAACAGACUAAAAGGCGCAUCCAAGCCCUAAUAGUAAAUAGAAAGCAAACUCCCAAAUCUAAAGCAAUUUGUACACAAAAAGGAAAGCAGUCUUUGUUGCAUGACCAUGUGAUCCCGUAAUAAGGCCAGGGGUUAUCAUGAUUUGGAAGGUAAGCCAUUCACAGAUGAAAUUGAAAUUGAUUUAUUUAUCGGCAAGACAGCAAGUUUCUAUAAUAGGCUUUGAGCCACAUACUUCUAAGUGGUUCAGAUUCAGUAGACGAUGCUUAUACUAUGAAAGCAUGAAGCAUAGAAAAAUGCACCUGUUUUGGUUUUCGAAGACCCAUGUUUGACUUACAAAAAAUUUCCCACUAUUGCACAAUGGGAAGCAGCAGCUAAUUGAGCUGAAGUAGCUAAUAUUGGAACAAAUCAUAUUUGGAUGGAUAUCAAUUAUUCAAUUCUCCAAUGAUUUCUACAUAGGAACAACAGAAUAAAGGCAUCAGCAUCUCACCUUCAUCUAUUUCAACAGUCCGUUUAACUGAAGAAGCUGCCUUCUGGCUAAACAAGCAAGAGAAACAAGUCAUCACCCUCUUUUUUACUUUGAAAAUUAGCACAGAUCAAUCCAAAAUCCUCAACCUGUGAGAGUACACAAACAAAAACAUGUCAACACCUCACUGUUUUGUAAGGAGACAGAUGGGGAAUGCACGAGUGAGUUGUCAAUCAAUUGAAUACACAUCUACGUGGCUAUUUUAUUCUACAUGCUCUGCCAAGCAACUGGAAUGAGACAUGAGGACCCCUACUGCAUUGUCAAUCUCCUUUCAAACUACAAAAGAAUCUGCUGCGUUUUCAGAUGUUACUAAAAGGUAAAUGGGAACAUCUAAAAUCUGCUUGCAGACACACUCAAAAAAGACACAAAACUUCCACAAGAUUUUAGGCCUAGAACCAAAUUUCAUGAAUCAAUAACAGUUGGCACCUGCCAGGUAUAGAUAGAGUUGGAUCAUAGGUUGCUGAUUGAAAAACUUGAAAAUUUUGAAAAAUUUGCAUUAUUGGGGCAAUUGAAGAAAACUAAUGGAUUCAAGACAAGAAUCGUUCAACAUAAAGAGCAAGUCUUUUCCACAAGUUAACAGAGAAACAUUUUCUGCAAACACACCCAAGUAUAUAUAAUAUAUCAUUACAAUUCUCAAUGAACUGGUUAUAAGACAUGUAAUCCUUUGUACUAGAGCAAUGGAACAAAUUGACCAACUCUAAAUCUUACAAGUCAAAACAAGAAGCACCAAAGUUCUAGACAACUCUUACCUCCACAACUCUCCAAAACGGAAUUGAACUCUGGGUUUCUGCUAUCUUCCCAACAGAGAUUCCCAGGAACACGAAACCGUUAUUGUGUGAGUUUCUGAGGAUCCAGAAUCACUUCUUUGGUUCCAAAACGGUGUGAAUGAAUAGUCAAAAAGUCUUCUUGGGAUUCCUUACAUUCUCUCAGCAGCCAAAGAGAAACAUAAAGUAGAUGUAAAAAGCAAGAUGGGAAAUUCAAAGAUGAAGGGGUCUUGACUUAUGCCCACACCUUAUAACAGAAAUAUGGGAGAGAGAAGAAAGUACUUGUCUUUCCUCAAGUGGAAGACUUUGAAAUGUUAAACUGGUGUCUGCCUGUCCAGACGAGGAAGAUGAAAGUUAAAUUAACUGAACUGCUUCCCUCUGCUGCCUAAAUGUACGCGAGUUUUUAACCAAGAUUGUAAUCCAAAAACACGUGUUUUCGAAAAAUAAAAUAAAAGGUAUUUCUUGUUUCUAUGCCAAAAUCUAGACCUUCUCUUUCCUUCUAGGCUGCGAGUCUUACCUUGAUGGUAGUAUGUAGUUACGCAUCUAAUGAGUCGGACAUCAUGAUACGUUAUGAGACUCUUAAUAUUUCUGAAAAAUCAACAACGGAAGUCUACACCUUCUGAGAAUAUUAUAUUAGUCGAUACAAAUUGACAUCAAAUUUUUGUUUGAUUCUAUGUGAAGUCUAAUGUGGAAAUGAAGCAACAAGUACAUCGAAAAUCAUUAGAGAACAAGCUCAAUCACAGGACUGGGAGGCCAAAUGGUGCUAUGUAUCCGAGACCUGUUUUCCUUUUCUUUUCUUUUUUUAGACGUCUUGCAAUCAGAUGUACAAAUAAUGUUUCUGUUGAUAGAGUGAGGAAGGAGUUGAAUAUCGGCUCAUUUAGUAUCUACAUCUCUAGUUUUGAAUCGAAAUAUAUAUAUUUCAUCGAAUCAAUCAUCAUACGGAAUCUUAAUUUGGAUACCAAACUUUACCAAACAAUAUAUUCUUCAUCCAUGCUCUUUCAAACGAAGCUUAACGAAUUUCUUCAUCAACUCAUCAUGUCAUUCAUGUGUCAGCUAGCUAUAUAUAUCUUCUUCUUAUGGAAGUCGAUAUAAGAACAUAUGACUAUUCUACUUUGACAUGCCGUGCAAGAUCGGACAUAAAAUUAGAGUUUGCCGAUAUUUCAUUUACUGAAUGUAUCAUCAUGGACUAAUUAAAUAAUCGUUAGAUACUCACCGCUGAUGAGCAUGAUAGAAAAUAUAAGAUCCCUUUCGUCUAUAUUUUUUAGCCAGAUUAUAAAUUGGAAAGUGAUAGCCAGAAGCCUAGAAAGGGAAGACCAGUAUCUGCAGGCCCUUCUGCUUCAGAUCAAUGAAAUCAAUCUUGACUGACCAGGCUUGCUUGAAAAGUAUGCAAGACUGGGGGAGCUAGGCUGCUUGAAGAGUAAGUUGCCCUAGGCAGUCCUAUAGACUCCUAGUUGACAUGGGUUUUGUUUCCUCACUUACAUUGACCUAGGUUAGGGUUCAUUUCUGGACAAACAUGUUUUCUGGCAUAUAAUACAGACUGUGUGCGCCUGCAAGCAUAUGAGUAUGCUGGACAUGGUUUCUGGGUUGGAGUUUAGAGAUUUGGAUUUUAACACUUUGAUCCCGGUAGAUUUUAAGGGUGAAAACACAAUCCAAAAUCACUAAAUCACUCUCUUUAUCAUCCUAAUAAGAAGUUAAUUGAGUAAAAAACGCGGAUUUAAAUUGUCAAAAGAAUUAACAUAUCAUAAUAAAUAUGGAGUGUCCGUUAUGAUUUUGUUUCUUUUGGAAACUUGUUGACAUUGUUUGAUCUAGUUAAUUGUGGAAUACUUAAUCUCAAAUGCUAAGAUUAGACCCUCUUAAGUUUGUGGCUGGGUCUCAACUUCAAAGUAAAGUUGCUACCUUUUUUCAAAAGUAAAAAAGAAGUGAAUGAUUCUCCAAGAGAUAGUUCAUGCAAUCAAGGUCAAAUGUUUAAUGUCAACAUUUAAUCAUGCUCCAUUUCCAGAUUUCUAACAACUUGUUAACUUGUUUAUCAUCAAAAGUUACUUAUUAAUACAUUUUAACCACAAACGGCAUUAGAGACCACGAAAUCAACAAGACAAACUAAUCAUACCGUCUUGUUGCUUGAUUCUUUCAAGGCUUUAUGCCAUUUGUUUUUAGUUGAGGAGUUUUCAUUCAUGCCUCUGCCUUUCCCUCUUUGUUUUGUUCUUGUUCUUCAUUUUUGUCGAGAAUUAUAGAAAACCAGACUAGAAAUCAUACUGAUGAUCGAUGUGAUGGGAAUAUGAACAUUUGUAGUGAUACAUAAGUAAUAGAUGAAAAUAGAGUACAGCAAGGAUACUGUAACAAAAGACGAUUAUUUUAAAUGUGGUACUUGUUACUGUAUGUUACUUGAAUCCCAACUUGGAAAUCCCAGCUUUCUAUUAAAUAGUAUUAGUGAUACAAAUGGGAAUUUCAUAAUAGAUAUUUAUCAAAACUACUGACAGACCGGUUGUUAGUUUGAUAUAUUCAUUAGAUUAUGUAAGCUGGGUUGAAGAGAACAAAUGAACUAUCGAAGGAACAUAAGAAAGAAAAAAAGAGUUUGGCCUUGUAGUUUAGUCUAUAGUAUAUUUUCCAUAUAUUCCAUAUAGUAAGAUACAUGACCCCAAAUUCAAAUCCCUUGAAUUUAAAUAUUGAAAUGGCACCAAAAGCCGAAAUGGAGCUGUUUUAUUGGACUGACUUUUGACAACUGUGAACAGAAAUGAAGACUUGAAAAUGAAAAAGGACGAGGAUUGGUUCUUAGUUCUAACAAGAACCAAUUUCAUCACAUAAACACAUUGAUCGUCUAAUUAUCUACUUAAUUAAAACGAAAAUUUAUCUAUUUAAUUCAGUGUUCUAAUAAUUCUGCUAAUUGAUGAGCGAUGGCCAGCCGUCUGGAAUGAACCCGGGCAUGUCGAAUUUAAAACACGUUUAGAAAAAUAUAUGUUUACCUCAGAAUAACAUUUUGUUUGUAACAUGUGUUUCAAAUACAUUAUAUUCAUGUUUAAUCAAUCAACUAUACUACGUAUAAUGUUUUGUUUCAGUUACACUUAUCAUUCUGUUGUAUAGUAAAACUUAUUCCCGGAACCCUCGCCACCGCCGUUGGCGGCGUUGCAAUUUCUAAAAUAUUAUUGGAUUACAUCACUUGCAUUCUCAAAAAAAUAAAAAAUAAAAAAAUAAAAAAUAAAAAACACUUGAAAAGUGACGAUAUUGAAAAGCCAGAUUGUUCAAUAGUAACUUGCCUAUCUGGUUCAUACCAAGAGCCUAAAGUUCACAAAACCAAAUGUUUAAAAUCAGGGUCCGACAAGUUCUAAGAACUUUUGAACCUUGUCAACAGACACGAUGACUACUACUAAAAAGAGCCAACUCUCAAGUAGGCAGUGAAAUUAGGAAGAUCGAAAGCUCAGUCCAUUACACUUUAUUUACUUACAAAGCUCAGUCAAACAGUUUAUUUACUUACAAAGCCGCGGUACAUAACCUCAUAAAAGGAUUCAUGCAUGUACACAGGAAUCCCACUCUCCACUUUUCUACGUGACUAUAGUUUUAUGGGCGAACAAAAACCAUAACUUUUGCAAGCUCUAUUGCUUUUUCACGGCCGAAAAACUUCUCAACGAUUCCUAGAGCAAACUCCAUGGAGGUUCCAGGCCCCCUGCUGGUGAUGAGGUUACCAUCAACCAAUACCCUAUUUUCGAUUUCACUCUGGUCAGACAGCUUCUCACACAAGGCGGGGAAAGCUGUGGCCUUUUUGCCCUGCACAAAAGAAAAAAGAUGGUUUACAACUGAAUGCAGCAACACUGGCAUAUGAAGGUGCUCUUAGACGUUGACAAUAAAAAAGUUAUUCAAUUCACAUCUAAAAACGUAGAGAUGAUGGUAAAUAUCAUGGUUUUAUAUAACAACAUCAGAUGACUAUCAUGGAUAUCAGAUUCCAAGAGAAAGGAUCCUAAAUGAUGUGUAAGAGAAAUCCAACAAGCACAGUGGUCAGGUGGAUCUUUUAAGCAGUUAGAACAAGCUAGUAAACUACCACAUAAGAUGAACUGCAGUCAGCCCUGGGCUUGAUUAAGUUUCAGUGAAGUGGUCCUUCAAUAAAAAGAUACCAGCAAAGGUUGGGCAUACCUUGAGUAAGCCAUGGGGUUCAAAGACUAGAGCUGGUGAAGCACAUAUUGCUCCAUAAGGCUUAUUUGAGUCCCUUUGCCUUUUUAACAAAUUCACAAGUGUUUCUGAUUUUGCAAAUGCUUGGGCACCACCAAUUCCACCCUGAAAAAAAAAUAGAGAAUAUAGUUAACCUAGUCAACUGGUGAACAGUAAUAAUUGAACAACAACAAACAAGAAAACUAACUUACAGGCAAAACUAUAAGGUCAUACGAACUUUUGGCUGCUUCAUCCAGGAGCACAUCUGCUUCCAGCUUAACUUUGCGAGAAGCAAUAGUGUCUAGCUUGUCUUCAACAGAGGCCACUACAACGGUUGCUUUGGCUCUUCGUAGAAUAUCAAUGAUCAUAAUCACUUCCAUUUCCUCUGUACCAUUAGCUAUCGGUACAAGAAUCUGAAGACAGACAAAAAAGUCAUAAAGGGGACUCCAUAGAAUUCCAAGUCAAAAUAGCCACUAUUCAUGUCAUAUAAAACUUAUGGUUCUCUUCAGAGAAUUGCAGACAACUCUCAGUUCAUAGUAAACUUGUAAGAACAUGGAAUAAUCUCACAGGGGCAACGUAAUUGCCAAAGUAAACUACUACCAAUGAGUGCACGUGAAUACAACUAUUUACAAGAUCUCUGACACAACUACACACAUGAAUAAAUAAGCACCAAUUUUGUUCUCAAGUUUUACCCUGUACUAAAGAGCAAACCAACAUUAGCCUACCUGAGUUUUGCAUGCAAUGUUACAAGACAAAAAAUAUAUAUACAGUAAAUGAAAAGUUCACCUUUGGUGAAUCAGUGGAAGUCCACUUCAUUGGGUUUCGCUCCGUUAUGAUAUAUUCAUCCCCAUGGUUAGCACGCAUCACCUGAGUAAGAAUUUGAAGUCACAGACCCCGCAAAAAAAAACAAAAGUGUUCCAGUACACAUUAACCUCUCUAGCUGCGAUAAAAGUAACAGUCGUGCCGGAACGGAGCCAGGAUUUUGAACUCGACUGGGCAGAAAUUUCAUUUGAUACAAUUUCAUAUAACAUAAAUAUAUUUGUUGUAUAAUUCAAAUUCAACUCGAAACAAGUAGAUGCAGCUUGACUACAUAAUCUUAAGUUGUACUCUACGAUUGUAGCAAAUCUAUACCUAUUCUGUGAAGAGGAAGAAGAUUUAGACAUUUGAAGGGAAGAAUUGAAGAAGAACUACAUCUUCCAUCCUCUUGUUAUAAAUAGAAUAUAAAUAUUUAAGAUCUCUUACUCUUUAUUAUGGGAUUUUGUUGUUAUUUUUUUUUACUAUUUGAAAUAUGAUUGGUAAGUUUUUUCAAUUAACUAUGGUUAGUAAGUUAAUUAGGUGCUGUGUAACUUUUUCUCUUGUCUCAUACGGCUGUAGACACAUGUAGUUCCCAAUGACAAAGUUAACUAGUAGUGUAAUAUCAUGAAGACUUGCUAGUAUAGGGACUCUAUAGGCUGGGCUAGUAAUAAAGAUAGCUGACAUAGCCUAUGUAAUUAAAGAAAGCUGAAAAAGUCUUCUGGGCUAUAGCCCAUUUAGCCCCUCACAAUCAUCCGUCUCUGCAGUCGUGGUUAGAUUGUAUUUAUUUCCAUUUUUCCAGAUUAUGAUAACUUCCCAUUUCUUUUAAUUAAACACUAGAAUUACCUCUUGGAUUUACAACAAUUUUUUUCAUUUAAUCAAAGGACUUAAAAGUUAAAUUUCUAAAUUCUACUGGAUUCCUCUCUCUUUCCUGAACACCUUCUCCUACAUCAGAUACGCAACCAAAAUCCGUUGUUCCAACCCUAUGAAGAUCAAACCACCCAAAUGACCUUAUCUCCAAAUGCUAUUUUGGUAUGUUUAAACUUUCUUUUUGGGAAAGAAUGUGACAAGCCAAAAGAAACUAUGCUGAGAAAGCAUUUACCAUGGGACCAGAAACUUCAUCAGCUUUCUCUUUCCCACACAAUUGCUCAACAAGUGCAACAGCGAACUCCAUGGUAGUACCAGGUCCACGACUUGUCACAGCUUUGCCAUCUAGCUGCACUCUCGAUUCAACAGCAGUUGCACCAGAUGCUGCUAGUUGCUCCAUAAAUGAUGGAUAGCAAGUUGCCUGUCAAAAACCAGUUGAGGGCAUGAGCUCAGAUUCAAUCACUUCAAGAGAAACAAAGGUACACUGGAAAAAGAUAAUCUUAGUAGAGGUUUAGUACUUACUUUCAAUCCCUUCAGCACACCCCAAGACCCAAGUGCCACUGCAGGUGAAGCACAGAUUGCAGCAUAGAGCUUCCCAUCUGCAACUUGCUUUUUAACUAGGCUUUCCAGGACCUCACAAUCCUUAAGAUUGGUAGCACCAGGCAUCCCUCCCUAUAGCAUGAAAAUCCCAAAGUCAAAUUCAAUUACAACAAGCAAAAAUUAACGCACACUCCAGAAACUCGUAAGAUAGACCUAUGCAAGUACAGAUAGAUAAAAGGCUUCCUCCAAUCUUAUAUGUUAUGGAUUACAUCAAACUGUAUGCAUAGUUCUAUCAAAAGACAUGGAUUCAUCUGAGGAAGAUAACUCUAAAGAAACAGUUGGUUGCUUAAGAAUGAUAUAAAUCAAUCUCCUCAGACAGUUCUAUAUAAGGUAUCCAAUUGAUUCCCUGAAUUUUCAGUCCCAACGUUCCAGUUAAAUGAUUAUCGGCUCCUAAUCACAAGCAGGCUACGAAACCAAAUGACAAGCCUACAUUCAAUUAGCUAAAUACAGCUGCUUCAAAUAAGCAGUACUUCUCCAGUACUUCAACACUUCCUACUAUUUUCACUUAGUUUAAUUGUUAGCUUUCGCUUUCGCUUUCGUCUUUCUUUUCUAUCAAGAGUUCCAGCACUCCAAAAAAAGCUGCCAAAUUUGAACUUGCAAUUCACAAAUAAGAACACUCAUACAUCCAUCGAUUCAUAAAUUCAGAAACAAGGGACUGGUUUACUCACAGGCAGAGUAAUGAGAUCGAAGGAGCUCCGGCCACAAUCCGAAACCAAAGCAUCAGCGAUGAUCUUAACCCCGUGACAAGCCUCAACCCUCAGCUGCUUCUCCACAGAAGCCACGGUGACAUCAGCUCCGGCUCGGCGCAGAACAUCGACGGUGAUCACCGCCUCCAUCGGCUCCGUGCCGUUCGCAAUCGGAACCAGAACCUGCAAAAUUUCCAGAGUCAGUCUCGCACUCUCGCAGACACAAAUCCAGAGAAGAAGAUAGAGCAGAGAGUUUGACCUUCUUGGCGGGAGAAGCAGAAGCCAUGGCGGUGGAGGAGAGAGAGAAAGAGAGAGAAGGAAUGUGUUUGGUGAUGAGAGACGAAGAGUGAAGUUUAGGGGUUAUAAAGGGAGACGAGCCCAACAGAAAGGAGCGAGGCAAUGCCAUCUGUAGUUUUCUCGUUUCUAGGUUAGUGCUUCGGGGUUUAUCUCGAGUAACAUUCUAUCGGGUCGGGUAAACGGGUCAUAACCAUGCUUUUUUUCUUCUUUAAUCUCUCCAAUGAAAUAACCAUCCUUUGUUAAUUGAAAGUUUGAUUAGUUUUAUGCGUCCAGUAGUCCUUUGUUAUCUCCAACACCAAUUGUAUCAAUUUAUGUUGUCAAAUUCAAUUUGGUAUCGACCACUAGUUGAAUUCAAUUUAAUUUCAUAUUAUCCUGCUCUUCCCUUAGGAACUAAUUCAUUCUUUUCUAUAGUUUAGAGUUUUACUAAAGUGUUAAUCAUAGGGUGAUUUUAUUUCUGGAGAUCAGGCACCUGUUCUUCACUCAACCAUUCUGGCUUUUUCUUCGUAUGUGUUCUAAAUAAUGUUUAUUUUAUAAAUACUAAGCAUCUCCAGCAGUACUGUUAAAUUUAUUGCUAUAUUUAUCAACAUUUAGAUUUACAACAGCAAUUUUUGAACUUUUACUCCAACAGUAUUGCUAAAUUGUAUACGUUAGCUAAGUUUUAGUUAAUUGUCUCCCAAAGAUUGAUAAAUUUAUCAAUUUUCUCUAUCAAUUUCUAAAUUUAUCAAUUUCUUAAGUAUACUGCUGGAGCAAAGAUUCAUUUAAAAAUUAAUAAAUCUCUAAUUUUUUUUCAAUUUGUCAAUGCUACUGGAGAUGCUCUAAAUGUUUCUUUCUAAUUGCAAAUUUGUUUUGAUUAUUUAAAAGAAAUUAAAUAAAUUUAAUUCUAUGUCACUUGCCCCAUCAUAUUUUUGUAUAUUGACAUCAAACUCAUAAUAAAUCUAGGGUGUUGAAAUUUACACACCCUUAUUUACAAACCACACACCCUCUAACUAUUUUAAUAAUAUUUUAUUUCACUCAUACUUGCACUUCCUAUAAUACCCUAACUUGGUUUUUCUUUUUUCUUUUAGCUGUUCCCUUCUCUCUCUGUUCCUCCUCCAUACCCUGAUAUGGUUUUUUUUCUUCCAGUUUUCUCGUUUUCUCCCUGCUUAAUUUCUCGAGAAACCCGACUUCCUACUCUUAAAUCUUCGCUCCUCCGAUACCGUCCCAAACAAGUCCAAUUAUGACCGCGUGAGGGACCGGGACCCGCUACCGNNNNNNNNNNNNNNNNNNNNNNNNNNNNNNNNNNNNNNNNNNNNNNNNNNNNNNNNNNNNNNNNNNNNNNNNNNNNNNNNNNNNNNNNNNNNNNNNNNNNNNNNNNNNNNNNNNNNNNNNNNNNNNNNNNNNNNNNNNNNNNNNNNNNNNNNNNNNNNNNNNNNNNNNNNNNNNNNNNNNNNNNNNNNNNNNNNNNNNNNNNNNNNNNNNNNNNNNNNNNNNNNNNNNNNNNNNNNNNNNNNNNNNNNNNNNNNNNNNNNNNNNNNNNNNNNNNNNNNNNNNNNNNNNNNNNNNNNNNNNNNNNNNNNNNNNNNNNNNNNNNNNNNNNNNNNNNNNNNNNNNNNNNNNNNNNNNNNNNNNNNNNNNNNNNNNNNNNNNNNNNNNNNNNNNNNNNNNNNNNNNNNNNNNNNNNNNNNNNNNNNNNNNNNNNNNAUUGGAAUUGCAUAAUUUUGGUAUUUGAGAGAAGGACUUUGAUUAUGGAAGUAGAUUGAGUUUAACAAGGAGCUGUUAUUACCGAAGAGAGGGAAAGAAUGAAACAAGAACCUAGAAUUGAGAAGAGAGAUGAAUUGUGAUAUUCAUAAAGCUAUAUCCCUUGGAGAUAGAUCGUGAUAUUCAUAUGCUGAUUAGAGGUAUCGAUUAGAUUGGGAGGGAGAGAAGAGAGAGUGGUUUCGAGGAGAGAGAGAGAAAAGAAAAAGAAUAGAACAGACUAAGGGUACCAUAGGAAGUGGAUAAAAUAUUAUUAAAAAAAUAAAAGGGGUGUGGUUUGUAAAUAGGGGUGUGUAAAUUUUAGCACCCUAAAUCUAGACCAUUAAAUGUAAUAAGAUCUAAUGGUUAUUAAAAAGUGUCAAAAUUUGUGUUUAAAAAAGUGUCCCUUGAACCGGACCCAAAGAGGACAAACAAACUUCAUCUUCUGAACAUAAUCUCCCCCAAAUUUAAACCCUAACAAUCAAUCACUCACUAAGACUUGAAAACUUAGAUCAUGAAAUAGGGCAACACAUUUGCUGGAAGCUAGGUAGAUUGAUGAAUGGUCCCGCUAAUAUACACAUGUAUAUAUUGAGUAUAUAAAUAUAGUUACUUGGGUAGUGUUCCGGGUGUUGAUAUAACCGUAAUUCAAACCCACGCCAUAUUCUUCUGAGGUUUUCUAUUAUUCCUUGAUCAUACAUAGAAAUAGACAGAACCAAGAUCAUGAAUUAAAACUCAAUUUCCCUUUCCUAUGUACCAUCAUAUUGCAGUUUAGGUUAAUGAUUGUUCGUCUUUUGGACGUUCUUGUUCAAGAGAUCAGUUUUUCUUCUUCCGUUCUUCCUCUUUUCAUGGCGUGAUGUUGUUGAAAUCUGAGUUCAUCCUUCUAUUUUAUUUAUUUUAUAGAAAAAUAAUUAAUAAUCUAAUUUUAUUUUAAAAUUUUGUUAGGAAGAAAUCUAAUUUCAUGUCAUUCAUCAUAUCUAAUUUGGUCCAUUAGAUGUUUUUAUAUCUAAUGACUGACAUACAGUGUCAAAUUUUGUGUCAAAUAAAGUGUACAUUGAUCCAGACCCGUCCUCUUUUCAUGGCGUGUUUUUCUUGAAAUCUCAUUUCAACGUUUUAUCUAAUUUUAUUUGUAAAAAAAUAAUUAAUAAUCUAAUUUUAUUUUAUAAUUUUGUUAGGAAGAAAUCUAAUUCCAUGUCAUUCAUCAUAUCUAAUAUGGUCCAUUAGAUGCUUUUAUAUCUAACGACUGACAUACAGUCAAAUUUUGUGUCCAUUGAUCCGGAGUCCGAACCCUAAUAAAUUUCGUUAAUUCAAAUUUUUUUUUUUCGUUUUACUUCUAUGUCUAUGUGUACGACUAUGAUACGUUAACAUUUUUCAUACAACAACCACUACUUUUAUCACUUCGCGAACUCAUUUUAUCACUUGAUGAUUGAUGAUUGAUGAUUCAUGUUGUAAUUAAGAAAAUCUUUGGAAUUUAAGGAUUCAUGUUACCAGGUUAAAAGCUAAUAUUAAUUGUUUGUAAGUUAUGAACAAACAAAAAUCUUUUUAAAAAAAAACACACCCGACAUCCUAGAGAACACAUCUCAUCUUGCAUCCAAUUAUGUGUUAGCCUCUGGCCCCGCAAGUGUGUGUCGAGCAUGGCCGGAUGGGAUUCGUGCUCGCAGGUGGCUCAAUGGUUAAGCGUCGAGGUCAAAUGGCGUGGAAGAAACUAUGAACAAGUUGGUAGACUAGUGGUUUGGGGAUCAAAACUCGAUUGGAGAAGAUUUGUGUUGUGGAUGGAGAGCGGGUUGGCGGUUGAAGGUGUCCUGCAAUUUGGCAUGGCUUGGUGGAAACUUGCUUUGGCAGUCACUCGCGGCAACAUUUAUGACAACUAUAUGUGCUAACAGUGAUGAUUUGAAUUGCUCAUACAUCUAGUUUUGGUACAACUCAAACCAAGAUCUAGCCUAAUUCUUUGGGCUUUAAGGAUGAUGGUGGUUGUCGUCGUCGGUGGCAGUCGAUAUGGCGAUGAUGUGGGGGAGACGCAAAGUCGACAACAUUGGAUUUGGACGCUAUCAUAUUGGUGGUAUGCCCUUUAUAUAUUGGGAUGUGUGGUGGACAUGUAAGUGGUGUAUGCUCUAAUGAGGUGACAAGUUCCUUACUUUGUCAAAUGGUUGCAGCUGCUUAGUGACGAAACUUUCAAUCAACGGUAAUACUUUUCAGUGACAACAUAAAGAGAAAGCUCUAUGAAAAAAAUAUAAGGAUUAAUUUCAGUUUACCCCCAUCAACUUUAGGUCGAUCAUCAUGUUAGUCAUUCUUCUUUCAAUUUCAUCAAAAACACCCCUCAACUCCCAAUUUUCAUCAGCCGCGCAUGUCACAUCCCGACCCUUAUAUUUUUACCUUAUUUACUAGCGUGAUUAUAAUAAGAAUUUUACCGUCUCGAUCAUUGAGUAAAUAGUUUAAUUGGUCCCUAGAAGGGUUUCGGGGACGAUUAUGUGCGGAGGAUUAUUCGUAUGAGGAAAAUACGACGACGGUAAAAAUAGUAAAUUUUAGCUAGUANNNNNNNNNNNNNNNNNNNNAUGGUGUUUUUGAUGUUUUUAGUCGAUUGCCCUAGUUAGGCUUGGAAUUGGUGUUUGUGCUAGUUAUGAAAGUUGUAGAGCUUGAUGAGAGGAAGAUGCUGUUAAAAUUUCAUAGGUUUUGGAGGUCGCCGGAAUUGACCUCCGGCCGCCGCUGCCGGCGGCGCCGCCGCCGGUUGGGAGAUUUUAAUGUUGUUAAAUUUGGAAUAUUAAGGGGAGUUUAUUGAAGUGAGUUAUGGAAUUUUUGGAUGAGUUUUGGAUAGGUUUAUGAAUUUCCGAAGUUUGGUAUUUUUGGCGGUUAAUUAAUGUAGAAUCCGGCCGUAGGAUUUAAGUCGUAUUUUGGGGAGGUUGUAUUUACGACAGUUGAGUAUGAUAUUUAAGUUCGGAUUGUUCCGAUGUAAGAAUAUCGAAGUUAGGCAAUGAUGAGCGUAAUAAUGGCUCUCGGGUAAUUUUGCCUAUUUUGAUUAAAUAUUGGAUAUUGGUUGGGAAAUUAAUAUGAUAUUUGGAACAUGACGUGAAGAGGCUCGAGCAGACGAGACCCCAGAUUGACAUCAGGCUUAGGCCUAAUUCGUGAGUGGACUUUUGUUUUAAAUAAAUGCAUGCUAAGUUCACGAUUGAAUAAUUAAUGUCGUGGAGUAUUUUGCCGUCAAUUAAUUUUGACGCUUUUAUUUCUCUGAGAGAGAGUUACCGAAAAUGGGAUUUUCGGUGAAUAUAAAUAU
rnacentral:lncRNA from 1 species